UACGUAGGGUGCAAGCGUUAAUCGGAAUUACUGGGCGUAAAGCGUGCGUAGACGGUCAAGUAAGUCGGGUGUGAAAUCCCCCGGGCUCAACCUGGGAACUGCAUCUGUGACUGCAUCGCUGGAGUGCGGCAGAGGGGGAUGGAAUUCCGCGUGUAGCAGUGAAAUGCGUAGAUAUGCGGAGGAACACCGAUGGCGAAGGCAAUCCCCUGGGCCUGCACUGACGCUCAUGCACGAAAGCGUGGGGAGCAAACAGG
rnacentral:rRNA from 1 species